AACGAACGCUGGCGGCAUGCCUAACACAUGCAAGUCGAACGAGACCUUCGGGUCUAGUGGCGCACGGGUGCGUAACGCGUGGGAAUCUACCCUUGGGUUCGGAAUAACUCAGAGAAAUUUGAGCUAAUACCGGAUGAUGUCGCAAGACCAAAGAUUUAUCGCCCAAGGAUGAGCCCGCGUAGGAUUAGCUUGUUGGUGAGGUAAAAGCUCACCAAGGCGACGAUCCUUAGCUGGUCUGAGAGGAUGAUCAGCCACACUGGGACUGAGACACGGCCCAGACUCCUACGGGAGGCAGCAGUGGGGAAUAUUGGACAAUGGGCGAAAGCCUGAUCCAGCAAUGCCGCGUGAGUGAUGAAGGCCUUAGGGUUGUAAAGCUCUUUUACCCGGGAUGAUAAUGACAGUACCGGGAGAAUAAGCCCCGGCUAACUUCGUGCCAGCAGCCGC
rnacentral:rRNA from 1 species